UACGUAGGGGGCAAGCGUUGUCCGGAAUCAUUGGGCGUAAAGAGCGUGUAGGCGGUCCGGUCAGUCGGUUGUGAAAGUCAAGGGCUCAACCCUUGAAUGCCGGCCGAUACUGCCGGGCUAGAGUCCGGAAGAGGUGAGUGGAAUUCCUGGUGUAGCGGUGAAAUGCGCAGAUAUCAGGAGGAACACCGAUGGCGAAGGCAGCUCACUGGGACGGUACUGACGCUGAGACGCGAAAGCGUGGGGAGCAAACAGGG
rnacentral:rRNA from 1 species